UACGUAGGGGGCUAGCGUUGUCCGGAUUUAUUGGGCGUAAAGCGAGCGCAGGCGGUUCCUUAAGUCUGAUGUGAAAGCCCUCGGCUCAACCGGGGAAGGUCCUUGGAAACUGGGGAACUUGAGUGCUGAAGAGGAGAGUGGAAUUCCAUGUGUAGCGGUGAAAUGCUUAGAUAUAUGGAGGAACACCAGUGGCGAAGGCGGCUCUCUGGUCUGUAACUGACGCUGAGGCACGAAAGCGUGGGGAGCAAACAGG
rnacentral:rRNA from 1 species